GGAGUGGGCUGAGCGGUCGCCACGGCGUCGGGCGCGCAAGCGAGCCGGCGGCCGUGGAGGAAAGUCCGGGCUCCGCAGGACAGGGUGGUGGGUAGCGCCCACCGGCCGUGAGGCUAGGGAAAGUGCCACAGAGAACAGACCGCCGAUCGCCCAGCACCGGUCCCGCGGGCCGUUGCCAGAGCCAAGACAGGCUUCGGCACGGACACGGAGGACGGCCUGCGGGACCGGUGCUGGGAGGAGGUAAGGGUGAAACGGUGAGGUAAGAGCUCACCAGCAGGCCGGGUGACCGGCCUGGCUCGGCAAACCCCACCCGGAGCAAGACCAAGCAGAGGGGAGUGCGGCGGCGCGCCUUGGCGUUUUCGCCACGACUUGCCGCCGCCGCGGGCUGGUCCGGCCCGUUUGACCCUCGGGUAGGUCGCUUGAGGCGGCGGGUAACCGCCGUCCCAGAGAAAUGACCGCUCUCGACAGAACCCGGCUUACAGGCCCACUCCGGGU
rnacentral:RNase_P_RNA from 1 species